rnacentral:rRNA from 1 species
UACGUAGGGCGCAAGCGUUGUCCGGAAUUAUUGGGCGUAAAGAGCUCGUAGGCGGUUUGUCGCGUCUGCUGUGAAAACCUAAGGCUCAACCUUGGGCUUGCAGUGGGUACGGGCAGACUAGAGUGCGGUAGGGGUGACUGGAAUUCCUGGUGUAGCGGUGGAAUGCGCAGAUAUCAGGAGGAACACCGAUGGCGAAGGCAGAUCUCUGGGCCGUAACUGACGCUGAGGAGCGAAAGCAUGGGGGAGCGAACAGG